AGCGAACGCUGGCGGCAGGCCUAACACAUGCAAGUCGAGCGCUCGUAGCAAUACGGGAGCGGCAGACGGGUGAGUAACACGUGGGAACGUACCCUUCGGUUCGGAAUAACUCAGGGAAACUUGAGCUAAUACCGGAUACGUCCGAGAGGAGAAAGAUUUAUCGCCGAGGGAUCGGCCCGCGUCUGAUUAGCUUGUUGGUGAGGUAACGGCUCACCAAGGCGACGAUCAGAGCUGGUCUGAGAGGAUGAUCAGCCACAUUGGGGACUGAGACACGGCCCAAACUCCUACGGGAGGCAGCAGUGGGGAAUAUUGGACAAUGGGCGCAAGCCUGAUCCAGCCAUGCCGCGUGAGUGAUGAAGGCCCUAGGGUUGUAAAGCUCUUUUACCUGGGAAGAUAAUGACUGUACCGGGAGAAUAAGCCCCGGCUAACUUCGUGCCAGCAGCCGCAGUAAC
rnacentral:rRNA from 1 species